CAAAUCCUACGGGAGGCAGCAGUGGGGAAUAUUGCGCAAUGGGGGCAACCCUGACGCAGCAACGCCGCGUGAUUGAAGACGGCCUUCGGGUUGUAAAGAUCUUUAAUCGGGGACGAAUUUUGACGGUACCCGAGGAAUAAGCUCCGGCUAACUACGUGCCAGCAGCCGCGGUAAUACGUAGGGAGCAAGCGUUAUCCGGAUUUACUGGGUGUAAAGGGCGUGUAGGCGGGCAUGCAAGCCAGAAGUGAAAUCUGGGGGCUUAACCUGCGAACUGCAUUUG
rnacentral:rRNA from 1 species